AGCCGAUGAUGAUAAAGUUUAGAUGAAAAUACGGGAGAUUAAAAUUAAAUUGCAACGACUCACUCCGGAUCGGCCGACUCUUUGUAAUCUUGACAGACAUUCAAAAGUUUCGGUGCCUGUUGUAAAAACAAAGAGACAUUAAACAUUGAAUGCCCAAUGGGAUCUCCUUCAGUCAUGGGUGCCUCGCGGCAUUCAAUUACACUUUUUCUCCAAUCGGCGUUUGAUCCAGAGAGCAAUUUAAUUUUCCUUCCAAUUUUGUGAUUUCCAUCUUUAGUAAUCUGAGGUGCAU